UACGUAGGGUGCAAGCGUUAAUCGGAAUUACUGGGCGUAAAGCGCGUGUAGGCGGCUAAGCAAGUCGGGCGUGAAAUCCCACCGCUCAACGGUGGAAGUGCACCCGAAACUGCAUAGCUAGAGUCCUGGAGAGGAAGGUGGAAUGCUUGGUGUAGAGGUGAAAUUCGUAGAUAUCAAGCGGAACACCGGUGGCGAAGGCGGCCUUCUGGACAGUGACUGACGCUGAGACGGCGAAAGCGUGGGGAGCAAACAGG
rnacentral:rRNA from 1 species